rnacentral:rRNA from 1 species
AUGUCGUCUACCAAGUGGCUGUGGCGCGUGAAGAGGCUGCUCGACAUGGAGCCGAAGAGGUGCAUGCGCUCCACGCUCGCAACGAUCCACAGCAACGCCGACAAGAUCGUCUGUGAGCGCAGGGUGAGAGAGACGGCUGGGUUGGCGCGCAGUGACGACGUUCUGUCGCGCUUGGCCGCCGCCGGCGAGCACAGUGACGAGAGCCUCCGCGACGUGGUCACCAACUUCAUCCUCGCCGGCCGUGACACGACCUCGUCCGCGCUGACCUGGUUCUUCUGGUUACUGUCCACGAGACCCGACGUGGAAGACAAGAUCAUGUGCGAGGUCCACGCGUCUGGCCAAGGUGCGUCGACCUUCACCUUGGAGGAGCUGCGCGAAAUGCACUACCUCCGUGCGGCCAUCACCGAGUCCAUGCAGCUGUACCCACCGGUGGCCGCCGACGUGCACAGCUGCAAGGAGGACGAUUUCCUUCCGGACAGCACUUUCGUCGGGAAAGGGUGGCUGGUGACAACUGGGGGAAGAGGACUGCGAGGAGUUCCAGCCGGAGAGGUGGCUGGACGAGGAGGGCGUGUUCCGGCCGGUGGCUGGACGAAGAGGGCGUGUUCCACGCGGGGCCGAGGAUGUGCCUCGGCAAGGACAUGGCCUAGCCACAAAUGA